rnacentral:rRNA from 1 species
GACGAACGCUGGCGGCGUGCUUAGCACAUGCAAGUCGAACGGAAAGGCCCUGCUUUUGUGGGGUGCUCGAGUGGCGAACGGGUGAGUAACACGUGAGUAACCUGCCCUUGACUUUGGGAUAACUUCAGGAAACUGGGGCUAAUACCGGAUAGGAGCUCCUGCUGCAUGGUGGGGGUUGGAAAGUUUCGGCGGUUGGGGAUGGACUCGCGGCUUAUCAGCUUGUUGGUGGGGUAGUGGCUUACCAAGGCUUUGACGGGUAGCCGGCCUGAGAGGGGGACCGGCCACAUUGGGACUGAGAUACGGCCCAGACUCCUACGGGAGGCAGCAGUGGGGAAUAUUGCACAAUGGGCGGAAGCCUGAUGCAGCAACGCCGCGUGCGGGAUGACGGCCUUCGGGUUGUAAACCGCUUUCGCCUGUGACGAAGCGUGAGUGACGGUAAUGGGUAAAGAAGCACCGGCUAACUACGUG